AUAGUGAGAGAAGCAGCAGUCAGCGAUUCGAGGUUCGGCAGUUGGCAAUCAGCAGGUGGCAUUGGUAAAUGGCUGGUUGGCAGUCAGUGGUAGGGAAGUUGGCAGGAUGGCAGUAAGCAAGACGGCAAGAAAAAGCGAUCUGCAGCACGACAAGCUGGGAGACGAUGAGAGGUGGUGAAGCAGAGCUGUUAAUACCUAAAAGCUAAAACACCAACCAAAGGCUCUUUUCAGAGCCAUCGUUUUCCUUGGCCAACAGGGGAACUGAGCAGACAGGCAAGCAGCCAUAGUGCCACUGUUUCGUGUGAGACUUGUAGUUCUGAUCAGCAGGUGGGUGGGUAACCAGCCCCUGUGCCAGCCUCUCUCACCACUGCAGCUGAGCCCAUCAGCAGCCAUAGUGCCACUGCCUCGUGUGAAACACGCUGCUCCAGCUGGCAGACUGGUGGAUUACAGUCUCCAUGCUGGCAUCUCUCACCAUGGCAGCUAAUCCCACCCAAGCUGAGGGAUCCUGGAGAGAUCAUCAUGCAGAUUUCCAUGUGGAAUAUUGUCAGUACCAUUUGGCUCUGGUGGAUGGAACACGUGUUGUAGAGAAGCCAGUCUCUAUAUAACAAUCCUGACUACUCUGAGAUUUUCAUGCUGUGCAGAAGACCAAGCCGACUGUAUGACAAAGAAAUGUCAAGAAAAAGAGCUGAUCAACCAAUUCGGAAUCAUUGCCGCCUUCCCAGAUGAGGUCCCAGAUGCUUGAACUGGUCCAGCUCAUCCAAAUUUCUGACCAUUCUAGACCCAACUGACAUUUGAUAGCAACUACAUGUGAUAUUUGGAGCAAGAACUUCUGUCUGAGCCCAAUAUACUCAAAGAUCAAUGACAGACAAUAACAUGGUGAUGUUUUAAAAUAUCCAGGCAUGGAAUUUCUCGUUAAUGUAAUAUUAAACAACAAAAGGAAUGAAUUACAA